UAUCAGAUGUUGUGAAAGAUCAUUUUUGGCAACGUUUAAUAAACGUUGCAAAAGAUAAUCUUUCGCAACGUUUAUUAAACGUUGCCAAAAAUGAUCUUUCGCAACGUUUAUCA
rnacentral:miRNA from 1 species